AUUAAUUUCAGUUUCGGACCAGGGUUAAAAUUCAAAAAUCUCCUUUUAGUAUUUUAGAUAUGUUUUGAAAAUAACACUUCACAAUGGAAGACCAGACAAACUUAAGACAAGGUCCAAGUAAAUUGGAAGAAUUAGGUAAAAAUACAGUUGAAUCAUUGACUACAACACUAAAUGAUUUAAAAAAAUCAGCGGCAGUGCUAACUGCAGAGAAGAACGAUUUUUAUGACAAACUGGUCAAAAUUGACGAACUUUGUAAGAGUAACCGAUAUUCACAUCCAUUGAUUCCUAAAAUAGUGAGUAUAACAUCUGACAGCGUAGAACAGAAGACUAAAGAAAAGCCAGUCUCGAAAGUUAGGAAAUACAUGGCCAAACAUUUUGGAAAAAAGAAAUAACGUAGGACAUUACUUGGGAGGUUUUAUAAUUUUUUAUAACUACCAUAAAUAUUGUAUAGUAGAUGGAAUCUAGCUAUAAUGAUAGUAGUUAAAAUGGCAGAUGUUUACUUUUAUAACUGCGACAAACUGAUUGAAUAAAUGCAGUCUAAUGUAAACUAACUGAAGCUAGCCUACGAUUAUGAGAUGUAUCUUAUUAAUAUGAGCAAUGGGAAGGUUAACUGAGCUAUGAUUACUAACUGAGCUGCACAACUGCGAGAAAGUGUGGACUGUAGUGAGCUGUUCUUGUUAUCUUCAAUUUGAACAUUUUUUUCAAAAUACUAAAUAUCAUGGAACAACGAAAUAUGAAAUUAAUACAUCAUUCUACGACAUAGAUAAUCAUCAUUUAAUACAUCAUUUGGUCUAAUGUCCACAGAUAAUAAUUUAUAAAGCUUUUGGAAUGAAAUGGAUAAAUGUUGUUGAUGUCGUGAUGUUAGUCAGCCAAUUUGGGUUACAAGAAUUUGAAACAGAUUAAUACAAUCUAAUACGGAUUGAUCGAACCUGAUGUUACCAGACGAAACCUGAUGUGCACUAAUAAGACUAGACGUAAAACACCGAGUUAAUGUGGGUUGGGCGAGCUAGCUUGCAUUAUGGCAAUUUAAUAUGGGUUAAUACGAACUUGCAAAAAAUUAUAUAUACUCACUAUUACUUUGUCGAAGUGCUAGUUUCAAUCAUGCUAUUUACAAAUUUUAGUAAUUUGACUUAAAUUUGGUUUUGGAGAAAUAAAAAUUAAAAAUUAACCCAUCAA